rnacentral:lncRNA from 1 species
AGAAGGGAGAGAAGGAAGGAAAAGAGAAAGGGAGGAAGAGAAGGAAAGAGGAAGGAGGAGAGAGGAAAUCAAAGAAAGAAGAAAUCAAAGGAAGAGAGAGAAAAAGUAUGAAUAACAUUACUGGGUUAUUUUCUUAUCUUUUCUGUGUGCGUUGACAACCCAGGCAUCCGUGCCACCUGGAGGCAGCCUACUAGCAGCAAUUUUUCUGAAAUUGGGUUCAGAUUUAUCCCCUGGAAAUAUGGUUUGAAAUAUUUUGAGAAUUACCAAAAUGUGACACAGGGACAGGAAGUGAGAAAAUGCUGUUGGAGGAAUAUACUUGCUCAACAACCAAAUAGCUGACAGGUGCUUGAAGAAUUCAUGAAGAUCACGGUCUUCCUGCUCUUGAGGACUUUUAGAAUCUACUUUGGGCCAGAAGUCUCUUUAGUCCCAGUUUCAUCUCAGGUAUGUCUCCUUACAUAGACACAUUUUUAUUUUUAGGUUUUCUUUUUUUUUUUUUUUUUUUUGUCUUUUGGCACUGCACCCAUGGCACAUGAAGUUUCCUGGGUGAGGGGUUGAAUCAGAGCUAUAGCUACUG